rnacentral:tRNA from 2 species
GCGAAAGUGGUGAAAUUGGUAGACACGCUGGAUUUAGGUUCCAGUGCCGCAAGGCGUGAGAGUUCGAGUCUCUCCUUUCGCACCA